AUUGAACGCUGGCGGCAGGCUUAACACAUGCAAGUCGAACGAGUGGCGGACGGGUGAGUAAUGCCUGGGAAACUGCCUGAUGGAGGGGGAUAACUACUGGAAACGGUAGCUAAUACCGCAUACCAUCGGAUGAGCCCAGAUGGGAUUAGCUAGUUGGUGGGGUAACGGCUCACCAAGGCGACGAUCCCUAGCUGGUCUGAGAGGAUGACAGGCCACCCGGGAACUGGGAAAGGGCCCAGACUCCUACGGGAGGCAGCAGGGGGGAAUAUUGCACAAGGGGCGCAAGCCUGAGGCAGCCAUGCCGCGUGUAUGAAGAAGGCCUUCGGGUGGUAAAGUACUUUCAGCGGGGAGGCGUUACCCGAAGAAGAAGCACCGGCUAACUACGUGCCAGCAGCCGCGGUAAUUC
rnacentral:rRNA from 1 species